AAAAAUUUGGCAAAAAAAAACGGCAAACAAUACUGAAAAAAACAAAAAUACAAAAAAAAUAGAGUAGAUUAUAAAUAUUUGAGAAAUAUAAGGAAAUGAUAUUUUAGUAAAACCAUAAAUUAGCAAAAAAUCGGUUCAAUCGAAAAUCCACAUAAAAACCGGUUAAAACCUAGGUGUCUAUACACCUUGGUGUCUAAAAAUCACUACUCAAAUAUAUAUGUGGG
rnacentral:lncRNA from 1 species